UACGAAGGGGGCUAGCGUUGCUCGGAAUUACUGGGCGUAAAGGGCGCGUAGGCGGACAGUUUAGUCAGAGGUGAAAGCCCAGGGCUCAACCUUGGAAUUGCCUUUGAUACUGGCUGUCUUGAGUACGGGAGAGGUGUGUGGAACUCCGAGUGUAGAGGUGAAAUUCGUAGAUAUUCGGAAGAACACCAGUGGCGAAGGCGACACACUGGCCCGUUGCUGACGCUGAGGCUCGAAAGCGUGGGGAGCAAACAGG
rnacentral:rRNA from 1 species